CCCCACCCCGCCCUCCAUAAAGGCCCGGGCCGCGGGGCGCCGCCCAGCGCGGAAGCCGCAUGCCUGCCCGGUCCUGGAUUCCCCCGCGCGGCCCACCAUGGGAGGCGCCCGCCGCGGCGGCCUUCUAGUCCCACACGUGCUGGGUGUCUUGCUGAUUCUGUCGGAAGCUGGAGGCGGGCAGUGGGCCUCUGCCUCCGCAGCCUCUGCCCCUCCAGGCUGUGCUCCCUGGUGCCCUCGGAACUCCGUAUGUGUCAAUGCCACCGCCUGUCGCUGCCAUCCGGGAUUCAGCUCCUGGUCUGGGGAGAUCAUCACCAGCCCUGCAGACAGUUGUGACGACAUCAACGAGUGUGGACCACCCUUGGUGGCGUCCUGUGGAAAAUUCGCGGAUUGCCAGAACGUGGAUGGGAGCUACUACUGCACAUGUAGCCCAGGAUAUGGGCUCGUUUCUGGGGCAACAAUGUUCAGAAACGAGAGUGAGAACACGUGUCAAGGUAAGAACCACCUCUCAUCUUCCAUCCCCUCGUCGUGAGGUUUGGGGUCACCUGAGCCACUCCUGCAGUGUCCAGGGGCAGGGCCCGGCUUACAGGUCUGGGUGGGGACGGGGUUCCUGCGCCUGUCCCUCCAGCCCAGAGAGGCCGGCGGCACAGAGCCAAGGGCGCCCACCCCAGCUUGAGCCCGCUGGCUGUGUGGCCCCACCCAGGGUGCUCCUCCAGAAAUCACUGUUAACAUGCAGGAUGUGAUAAUACUAUUGUGACUUUGUGUUUUUGUAAAAAAAAAAAAAAGAGCUCCCAUCUUAUAGACGAAAGUGGCUUUGCCUCUUGUUAACUGUGUGACUUUGGACACGUUGGCUGGCCUCUCUGUGCCUCAGUCCACCCAUCUGUAGAAGGGAGGUGACAAUUUGGCCCCUCAUAGAAUCGCUGGGAAGGUGCAUGAGGUUGCAAAGCGCUCAACAGUGGUGGCCGUUGGGUUUUAAAAUUAGAAUCAUCGUGUCCAACGAAGGUGCCCUCUCUGGGCAU
rnacentral:lncRNA from 1 species